CCUACGGGGGGCAGCCGUGAGGAAUAUUGGUCAAUGGGCGCGAGCCUGAACCAGCCAAGUCGCGUGAGGGAAGACGGUCCUAUGGAUUGUAAACCUCUUUUGUCGGGGAGCAAAAGAUGCCACGCGUGGCGUUCCGAGUGUACCCGAAGAAAAAGCAUCGGCUAACUCCGUGCCAGCAGCCGCGGUAAUACGGAGGAUGCGAGCGUUAUCCGGAUUUAUUGGGUUUAAAGGGUGCGCAGGCGGAAGAUCAAGUCAGCGGUAAAAUUGAGGGGCUCAACCUCUUCGAGCCGUUGAAACUGGUUGUCUUGAGUGGGCGAGAAGUAGGCGGAAUGCGUGGUGUAGCGGUGAAAUGCAUAGAUAUCACGCAGAACUCCGAUUGCGAAGGCAGCAUACCGGCGCUCAACUGACGCUGAUGCACGAAAGUGUGGGUAUCGAACAGGAUUAGAUACCCCAGUAGUC
rnacentral:rRNA from 1 species